rnacentral:rRNA from 1 species
GACGAACGCUGGCGGCGUGCCUAACACAUGCAAGUCGAACGGAGAUACGAUUUCGGUUGUAUCUUAGUGGCGAACGGGUGAGUAACGCGUGAACAACCUGACUCUAAGAGGGGGAUAACACUCGGAAACGGGUGCUAAUACCGCAUAAGACCACGACCCGGCAUCGGGAUGAGGUCAAAGGAGCAAUCCGCUGAGAGAGGGGUUCGCGUCCCAUUAGAUAGAUGGCGGGGUAACGGCCCACCAUGUCAACGAUGGGUAGCCGAGCGGAGAGGCUGAUCGGCCACACUGGAACGGAGACACGGUCCAGACUCCUACGGGAGGCAGCAGUGGGGAAUAUUGGGCAAUGGGCGCAAGCCUGACCCAGCAACGCCGCGUGAGGGAAGAAGGCUUUCGGGUUGUAAACCUCUGUCCUUGGUGACGAAACAAAUGACGGUAGCCAAGGAGGAAGCCCCGGCUAACUACGUGCCAGCAGCCGCAGUAAAAC